AUAAGAUUGUAGUAUCGCAUGAUAUAGCAAUUAAAGGAGCAAUCCGCUAUAAGAUGGACCCGCGUCGCAUUAGCUAGUUGGUGAGGUAAUGGCUCACCAAGGCGACGAUGCGUAGCCGACCUGAGAGGGUGAUCGGCCACAUUGGGACUGAGACACGGCCCAGACUCCUACGGGAGGCAGCAUG
rnacentral:rRNA from 1 species